rnacentral:rRNA from 1 species
AGCUCCGAAAGCGUAUAUUAAAAUUGUUGCAGUUAAAAAGCUCGUAGUUGGAUUUCUGGCCAUCUGUGCGCAACCCGCCCUCGUUAGAGGUGUGUGUGCUGCCGACGCGGAUGCCAUCCUUCUAGAACUCUUUUUUGGCCUUCACUGGCUGAAUUUUUGGUCUAGAUCUUUUACUUUGAAAAAAUUAGAGUGUUUAAAGCAGGCUUACGCCAUUGAAUACAUUAGCAUGGAAUAAUAAUUUAGGACUUCUGUUCUAUUUUGUUGGUCAUAGAACUGGAGUAAUGAUUGAUAGGGAUAGUUGGGGGUGCUAGUAUUAAACGGCCAGAGGUGAAAUUCUAUGAUCCGUUUAAGACUGCCUAACGCGAAAGCAUUCACCAAGGAUGUCUUCUUUA